rnacentral:rRNA from 1 species
AGAGUAACUGUUCAGGUAUUGACGGUAUUUAACCAGAAAGCCACGGCUAAUUACGUGCCAGCAGCCGCGGUAAUACGUAGGUGGCAAGCGUUGUCCGGAUUUAUUGGGCGUAAAGCGAGCGCAGGCGGUUUUUUAAGUCUGAUGUGAAAGCCUUCGGCUCAACCGAAGAAGUGCAUCGGAAACUGGGAAACUUGAGUGCAGAAGAGGACAGUGGAACUCCAUGUGUAGCGGUGAAAUGCGUAGAUAUAUGGAAGAACACCAGUGGCGAAGGCGGCUGUCUGGUCUGUAACUGACGCUGAGGCUCGAAAGUAUGGGUAGCAAACAGGAUUAGAUACCCUGGUAGUCCAUACCGUAAACGAUGAAUGCUAAGUGUUGGAGGGUUUCCGCCCUUCAGUGCUGCAGCUAACGCAUUAAGCAUUCCGCCUGGGGAGUACGGCCGCAAGGCUGAAACUCAAAGGAAUUGACGGGGGCCCGCACAAGCGGUGGAGCAUGUGGUUUAAUUCGAAGCUACGCGAAGAACCUUACCAGGUCUUGACAUACUAUGCAAAUCUAAGAGAUUAGACGUUCCCUUCGGGGACAUGGAUACAGGUGGUGCAUGGUUGUCGUCAGCUCGUGUCGUGAGAUGUUGGGUUAAGUCCCGCAACGAGCGCAACCCUUAUUAUCAGUUGCCAGCAUUAAGUUGGGCACUCUGGUGAGACUGCCGGUGACAAACCGGAGGAAGGUGGGGAUGACGUCAAAUCAUCAUGCCCCUUAUGACCUGGGCUACACACGUGCUACAAUGGAUGGUACAACGAGUUGCGAACUCGCGAGAGUAAGCUAAUCUCUUAAAGCCAUUCUCAGUUCGGAUUGUAGGCUGCAACUCGCCUACAUGAAGUCGGAAUCGCUAGUAAUCGCGGAUCAGCAUGCCGCGGGGAAUACGUUCCCGGGCGAGGUACACCCCGCCUCUCACAGUCGUAACAAGGUAACCAUAGAGUUUGCUCCGGGCUCCGGUAAGUCGUAAC